rnacentral:misc_RNA from 1 species
GAUGAAGAACGCAGCGAAAUGCGAUAAGUAAUGUGAAUUGCAGAAUUCAGUGAAUCAUCGAAUCUUUGAACGCACAUUGCGCCCCCUGGUAUUCCGGGGGGCAUGCCUGUUCGAGCGUCAUUUCACCACUCAAGCCUCGCUUGGUAUUGGGCAUCGCGGUCCGCCGCGCGCCUCAAAUCGACCGGCUGGGUCUUCUGUCCCCUAAGCGUUGUGGGAACUAUUCGCUAAAGGGUGUUCGGGAGGCUACGCCGUAAAACAACCCCAUUUCUAAGGUUGACCUCGGAUCAGGUAGGGAUACCCGCUGAACUUAAGCAUAUCAAUAAGCGGAGGA